GUAGCGGCGGGGUAACGGCCCACCGNGGCCGACGAUGCGUAGGGGUUCUGAGAGGAAGGCCCCCCACACUGGUACUGAGACACGGACCAGACUCCUACGGAAGGCAGCAG
rnacentral:rRNA from 1 species